UACGUAGGGGGCAAGCGUUGUCCGGAUUUAUUGGGCGUAAAGAGCGUGUAGGCGGCUUGGUAGGUCCGCUGUGAAAACUCGAGGCUCAACCUCGAGAUGUCGGCGGAAACCACUUGGCUAGAGUCCGGAAGAGGAGAGUGGAAUUCCCGGUGUAGCGGUGAAAUGCGCAGAUAUCAGGAGGAACACCGGUGGCGAGGGCGGGUCUCUGGGCAGUAACUGACGCUGAGGAGCGAAAGCGUGGGGAGCGAACAGG
rnacentral:rRNA from 1 species